rnacentral:rRNA from 1 species
CCUGGUUGAUUCUGCCAGUAGUCAUAUGCUUGUCUCAAAGAUUAAGCCAUGCAUGUCUAAGUAUAAGCAAUUAUACCGCGAAACUGCGAAUGGCUCAUUAUAUAAGUUAUCGUUUAUUUGAUAAUACUUUACUACUUGGAUAACCGUGGUAAUUCUAGAGCUAAUACAUGCUGAAAAUCCCGACUUCGGAAGGGAUGUAUUUAUUAGAUUAAAAACCAAUGCCCCUCGGGGCUCUCUGGUGAAUCAUAAUAACUAGUCGAAUCGACAGGCCUUGUGCCGGCGAUGGCUCAUUCAAAUUUCUUCCCUAUCAACUUUCGAUGUUUGGGUAUUGGCCAAACAUGGUGGCAACGGGUAACGGAGGGUUAGGGCUCGACCCCGGAGAAGGAGCCUGAGAAACGGCUACUACAUCCAAGGAAGGCAGCAGGCGCGCAAAUUACCCAAUCCCGACACGGGGAGGUAGUGACAAUAAAUACUGAUACAGGGCUCUUUUGGGUCUUGUAAUCGGAAUGAGUACAAUUUAAAUCCCUUAACGAGGAACAAUUGGAGGGCAAGUCUGGUGCCAGCAGCCGCGGUAAUUCCAGCUCCAAUAGCGUAUAUUAAAGUUGUUGUGGUUAAAAAGCUCGUAGUUGAACCUUGGGCCUGGCUGGCCGGUCCGCCUCACCGCGUGCACUGGUCCGGCCAGCCAGGCCCAAGGUUCAACUACGAGCUUUUAACCACAACAACUUUAAUAUACGCUAUUGGAGCUGGAAUUACCGCGGCUGCUGGCACCAGACUUGCCCUCCAAUUGUUCCUCGUUAAGGGAUUUAAAUUGUACUCAUUCCGAUUACAAGACCCAAAAGAGCCCUGUAUCAGUAUUUAUUGUCACUACCUCCCCGUGUCGGGAUUGGGUAAUUUGCGCGCCUGCUGCCUUCCUUGGAUGUAGUAGCCGUUUCUCAGGCUCCUUCUCCGGGGUCGAGCCCUAACCCUCCGUUACCCGUUGCCACCAUGUUUGGCCAAUACCCAAACAUCGAAAGUUGAUAGGGAAGAAAUUUGAAUGAGCCAUCGCCGGCACAAGGCCUGUCGAUUCGACUAGUUAUUAUGAUUCACCAGAGAGC